rnacentral:rRNA from 1 species
UACGUAGGGGGCAAGCGUUGUCCGGAUUUAUUGGGCGUAAAGAGCGUGUAGGCGGCUUGGCAAGUCCGCUGUGAAAACUCGAGGCUCAACCUCGAGACGUCGGUGGAAACUGCCUCGCUAGAGUCCGGAAGAGGAGAGUGGAAUUCCUGGUGUAGCGGUGAAAUGCGCAGAUAUCAGGAAGAACACCCGUGGCUAAGGCGGCUCUCUAGUACGGUACUGACGCUGAGACGCGAAAAGCGUGGGGAGCGAACAGG